GAUGAACGCUGGCGGCGUGCCUAAUACAUGCAAGUCGAACGCAUUGAGAGAAGUGCUUGCACUUUUCAAUUUGAGUGGCGAACGGGUGAGUAACACGUGGGCAACCUACCUGAUAGCGGGGGAUAACGAGUGGAAACAUUCGCUAAUACCGCAUAACAAUCGAGAAGGCAUCUUCUUUAUUUAAAAGGCGCUUUCAAGCGUCACUAGCAGAUGGGCCGGCGGUGCAAUAGUUAGUUGGUGGGGUGAAGGCCUACCACGACAAUGAUUCAUAGCCGAGUUGAGAGACUGAUCGGCCACAUUGGGACUGAGACACGGCCCAAACUCCUACGGGAGGCUGCAGUAGGGAAUCUUCCACAAUGGACGAAAGUCUGAUGGAGCAACGCCGCGUGUGUGAUGAAGGCUUUCGGGUCGUAAAGCACUGUUGUAUGGGAAGAAAUGCUAGGCUAGGAAAUGAGCUUAGUUUGACGGUACCAUACCAGAAAGGGACGGCUAAAUACGUGCCAGCCGCCGCCGUAA
rnacentral:rRNA from 1 species